rnacentral:lncRNA from 1 species
GUGUCCUGUAUUUGCUGAAUCAGAUAGGAUGGGAGACCUCCCCUAUCCUGAGACAUUUCACCACCUACCGGAGACUCACACUAGAAUUCCUUAGCUCAUUAAUCUAUCUACCCAGCCAUGGAAAAGGAAUUAGCAGAGGUUUUAUCCAGUUCAGAAUGUUCAAUAUGGAGUACCAAUUUAAUAUUAGAGACUUUACCAACCUUUUGGGUUUUCCUACCUCCUUUGAUACAUUCACUGUAAGCCAGGAAGAACUUUUUGAAUAUAGAGAGCUUGAACACUUUUGGGGUAAGCUGACUGGAAAUGAUGAG